GCGACCCCAGUCAGGCGGACACCCG
rnacentral:rRNA from 1 species